rnacentral:other from 1 species
ACGGUUAUAAAUCAACAUAUUGAUUUAUAAGCAUGGAAAUCCCCGAGUGAAACAACGAAUUGCUGUGUAGUCUUUGCCCAUCUCCCACGAUGGGCUUUUUUUUAA